rnacentral:rRNA from 1 species
CCUACGGGCGGCAGCAGUAGGGAAUAUUGCGCAAUGGGGGAAACCCUGACGCAGCAACGCCGCGUGAGUGAGGAAGGUCUUCGGAUUGUAAAACUCUUUUAUUUGGGAAAAAUGACCAUAUGGCUAAUAUCCAUGUGGAGUGAUGGUACCAAAGGAAUAAGCACCGGCUAACUUCGUGCCAGCAGCCGCGGUAAUACGAAGGGUGCAAGCGUUGUUCGGAAUCAUUGGGCGUAAAGCGCGCGCAGGCGAAAUCUCGAGGCUCAACCUCGAAACUGCGUCUGAAACUACAAGUCUAGAAUGUCGGAGGGGGCAGGGGAAUUUCACGUGUAGGGGUAAAAUCCGUAGAGAUGUGAAGGAACACCGGGGGCGAAGGCGCCUGCCUGGACGACUAUUGACGCUGAGGCGCGAAAGCGUGGGGAGCAAACAGGAUUAGAUACCCCGGUAGUC